CCAGGGCUAGAUCUUUGUGAAAAAUAUUUUUAUUCUCUUUUUUUUUUUCAUUUUUACUUUUUAGUGGUGAAAAUUAAGGGGGGAAAGAAGGAAAAUUUGCUCUGAAAUGACUAUACUGCAAAAACUUAAAGAAAAAAGGGGGUGGGUCUUGGCUGAAAUCAAGCUGACACCUUUUAAAGUCAUUUUCAUUAAAAAAAAGACCACCAAAAACAACUGAGUUAAAUACUUCUAGUGUAUUAUUUUGCAAGUGUUCAAUAUUUGGAAAAUACUCCACUAGAAUGCUUCAAAUUAAUAUCUUUUUCCCCUUGUUUUUGGAAUGGGUAGGAAUGGGAGCUGGCCGUGUGUGCAUCCAUUCUGAAUUUCUCGACAAGGGCUUAUGAGAAGUAUUAGAGUUCUGUAAAUGAAAAUUCUGCUCUCCCCUUGAUCCACAAAUAGACUCUAGGCAUGGGCUCACUGGAGAACACAUCUCUCCAGUCAUCACAGCUACACUGUCCACUUUCAGUACUGGUAGAGGGAGGACAUACUUCUGAGGCCAGCACAUACUUGUCAAUGUACAGAACAUCACAAUGA
rnacentral:lncRNA from 1 species